UCAAAUCUCAAGCCUUGCUUGGUAUUGGGUUUUCGUCUCCCCUUGCCUUUGUUACGAGUGGUGACGUGCCUGAAAAUCAAUGGCGGUGCCUCAAAAGACUCCAAGCGUAGCAGACUGACUCUCGCUUUAGAGAACUUUUGUAGGUCCUGUCAAUAAAAUAACAA
rnacentral:misc_RNA from 1 species